UCCAUAAUUUUUUUCCAACUAUGUGUUUCCUUUGCUAUCUAGCUUCGUCUCUUCCUCUCUGAUCAAUCUCACGUGCAUCUCCAAUCGACGUCGUAUUCAUCUCCGAUCCGCUUCGUCUGCAUCUCCAAUCGACGUCGUCUGCAUCUCCGAUCGACCUCGUCUGCAUCUCCGAUUGACCUCGUCUGCAUCUCCGAUCGAUGUCUCCUUCUGCGAUCGACUUCGUCUAAUUCCCAAUUCGAUCUUGUCCCAGUCAUAUUGAUAUAUUAUCCUCUCUCCAUUUCCAAUUGAUCUUCACAUUCUCUCAUCCUUGCUCAUAUUUUCAUAUGAAACCCUAAUCUAGCUGUUUUACAUCUAUAAUUCGUAUUUUGUCAAUUUCAGGUUCUUUCGGUUUUGAUUUUUUGUAUCCAGUUGAAGAAAAAGUAAUUGAAGCUUCAAGAGUCACAAAAUGCUCUAAGAGAAGUUGUGAAGCUGCUUGAACAAACUGUUAACAAGUUCCAAACUCAGAGUGUGAGCUUCCAAAAAGAGUCUGCUGAUGUGUAUACCAUAAUUCAAGUCCCUCUCUUUGGACUCUGGGGAUUCAAGUGUUAUUAUAGCUGCAUAGUAAGAGGUGGAUGAGAUAAUCAAAACUUCAGAGAAUCAUGAGUCUGUGGAACUGGAAGCAAGUUUGGUUCAGAUAGGUGACAAUGUGGUUCUGCAAAAGUUGCUUGUAAGUUGAUAUAUUUGAUCUGAAAUGUGAUUGAUUUUAAAAAUACUAUAAGUUAAGGAAUGCUUAGUUGGGUAUAUCACUCUGUUUAUUUUCUACCUGUGGGGUCCGAGAUAUUUUGACCCUCAAGAUAGUAGUUGGGGAGCAUGCUAUAAUUGCUGUGAGGAAGGUCACUCUGCGGUAAACUGUUCAGCAGCGAAGCAGAUGAAACAGUGCUAUGUGUGUGGUGGUUUAUGACACACAUCAAGGGAGAUGAUGUAUGUGUUUGUGGAGGAACAUAUACAUUAUAAAUGUUGGGGCUUUUACAAUAAUGUGUUCAUCAUUGCUUGGUGGAAUGUUGCGUCAGCCAAGAGUUUUGAUGGCUAUGGGAAGGGAUGGACUACUGCCACCAUUUAUUUUGACAUAAAUAAACACAACUAUCUUCAUGCAAAGAGUACCUUAGUUACUGGCCUUGUUGCUGCAGCCUUGGCAGUUUUCAUGGAUGUCUCUCAACUUUCUGGGACCUGGAGAUGUUGGUUAUAGUGUUGAGUGCUUCUGCAAAUAAAUUGGGAAAUCUCAAAGAUCAAGCUUCUGCAUAUGCAGCUUUGAUCAUGGAAGAGCUUGAUCCAGAUCAUAAUGGAUAUAUAGAGAUGUGGAAGCUUGAAACUCUACUAAAGGAAAUGGUUAGCGCAGAAGAUGGCUCUACAGAACUUAGUACUAGAACCAAGACAUUAACUCGAGCUAUGAUACCGUGCAAGUACAGAAUCUAAUGCAAACUUCCAAGAUCGGUGAAACUUUAGCUUCGUUUUCUUCACUAUAAGGUUCAGUUUUUCUUCAAAGUUCUUGUUUUUCUUUCAGAUCUAGUUGAUUCUUUACCUCAAGCUUUCGAUUCAAAGCUCAAAUCACUCUAUUCGAUUCCUCUUUAGGUUAAUUUUUUACUAAUCGAUAUACUUGUUGUUGUUGAUUUUGUUGCUUUAGAUUAGUUAGGUUUUGAGAUCUAAAAGUUUUGAUUUGGUGUUUUUCUUUACAUAUCUUUCGAUUGGUUUUCAAUUUUCUUGAGAUGUCGAAGUAGAAGGCUGCAUCAUAUCGAAAUUCUGACUCAGCCUUGUCAUUCUCGUCAAAAUUCCGACUCUGAUGGCGACACCGAUUACAUAAAGAACGUGAUGAUGUUUUCAAUUGAAGAUACUGGCAAAGCAUGGGAUCAUAGUGUCAUGCUGAAAGAUUAUCAACUUUUACUUGGUAAAAUUUCCAUGUGGCAAUGGCUCCUCAAAGAGCCAAGCCCUUCUAUGCCUCUUUAGUGGACAUGUUUAGGAAUGCUUAUAACUCGGAUGCAAUCAAGUGGUCAUUGAAAUCGGUAGUCGGGGUUUACAGUACUCACAACCCACCGACCUUUUGUGUUGGACUCUAGUGGUAAUGUGAUAUGGAGUGGAUGGUUUACAAUAGCCAUGUCUAAUGUCUACUGUCUCACACCUCUACAGAGUGUUUAGGAAACUUGGUUAUAUGCAACUUCACACAAGUGGGUGUUUGGUGCCAUAGUCGGGCUUCUAGAUAAUGCAAUGACGAGAUGAACUACUGUAUGUGAUGUUUCAUACCUGAUUGCAGAAAAUAAUUAUUUGUUCAAAUUCUGCAACACUAAGUUGUUAUUGAAGUGUGAUAUUUUAGUACUACAGUAACGACUAUUUGACAACACUUAACAAUAGUGGUUUGUUCUUCGACAACACUUAACAAUAGCAGUUUGUUCUGCAAUGAUAUUAGGUUAUUUGAUAGCGUUGGGCUUGUGUCUCGGUUUUAUUAUGCUAAUGUUAUUUGUGUUUUGAAUGGAAGAUUGAUGGGAGACUACACAAUCUUAAGAAAGAUGUUUAUGUUCAAGACUCUAAGCAUAGGAGGACACUAGUUGAGGUUUGUUUCUGAACUUUUUGGUUUUGUUAUUAUAUUGGAAUUUGCAAGUGUUUUCGGUUCUAGAUAUUCUAAAAUAGAAAAGGAAAGGUUAUUGGUAUCCUUUAUAAUACUUUGGUUAGGUCCUUAUUGAGUUUCGGUUUUUGAUUUUUUCUAUUUUUAGGGAUGAUUAUUAUUAGUAACACAUACUUUAUCAGUCUAGUUAUUCGGUUGCCUUAUAAUUUGAUCACGUUCUUUUGGAAGUGUGUGGAAACAUUUUAAAGGAUGGAGUGAUGGACCUUUAAUAGAGGAUGGAGUGAUGGAUCCAGAAGGUGGGCAGGUUUCCUCUAAGACACCAUGUGGUGUGUUUUAUUAUUUUUAUAUAGAUAUCACAUUAAAAACAAAAACUCAACCACUAUAUUUACUAACUCCAAUUAAGCAUCAAAACCAAAUAUUCCUUGAUUUGCUAAAGAUAUAUGCUAAGAGGAAUCAGAACCAAUUAGUCUAAAGUGUUCCCACUUAAGAAGGUGAAUAAAAUUAAUAAUGUCAUGUGGAUCAUUAUUCAUCACACUUAAUUCAAUUAUAUUUUGUAUAAAAUAAAUUGGUGGUGUAACCUAUGACAUCACUUCUUGUCCACUGUCUUGAUAGUGAAUGCAUCAAUUGUUUUCCAUUAUUUAGUACUCACACUUUUUCUUUUCGUUCAAGACACCUAGUCAGCAAGUGACAGAUUAAAAAUAACAAAAUUUGUCUUCCAAACUUUAUAAAAGACCAUAGAACCUUAGAAAAAAAACACAAAAACAAACACACUUGAUAGUUACUAAAUUCAUAGAGAAAAAUUGAAGUGCUGAAAUGGCUACAAACCAGGAGGAGGUGAAACUUUUGGGAGCUCUUGGAAGCUCAUUUGUGUGCAGAAUAACUCUUGCUCUAAAUCUAGGAAUUGAAUUUGAAUUUGUUAAAGAAGACUUGCAGAACAAGAGUGAGCUUCUUCUUAAAUAUAAUCCAGUUUAUAAUCAGGUUCCAGUUUUUGUCCAUAAUCAGAAUCCUAUAUCAGAAUCCCUAGUUAUUCUUGAAUACCAUUGAUGAGCUAAAAAUACCAACAGAAUUUCAGGAAGCUGUUAAUGGUGAUCCCACCAAGAGAAAAUGUGUGAUUGUUGGCAGUGAUAGGACGAAGAUGAUUUUGUACUUACAGCUCAUGUCCCUCCUAGCAAUAUGUUUGGGUAUUCCACAACCCCUUGUUCCAUGACACAGGGUAAAGGUGAGUUCACCUUUGGUUCCUCAAAUGAAGGGUUUGAAAGUUCUUUUUUUAUUUGAUUUGUAUUGGAAUUUGUUGAGUCUGUUGCAGAUAUUAAAAGAAUGGGACCUCUUGUCAAAUAUGAACGACGAAUUGCCAAUGGUGAUUUGGUGGAUGGUGAUAGUUGUCAGGUAGAGUAUUUCAAUUUCAUUGAUGGUAUAACUUCCUUGUUGGCGGGAAGCUCUUCAACCACCAACAUAAUAUUGCACCUUGUGUAACACAUAUUUGACUUGAACUUUCGACAAGUCAAAAAUAAUUCUUCGAUCAAUUUUCUCUAACCCAAACUGCACAGCAGAACUUAUGACUGCAACUCAACAACUCUUGCACAUCACCAUCCUUCUUUUCUGAUGUGGAAGAUCAGACAAGCUGCAACCAUAGAGCAUACUAAAAAAUCCUAUUCUUGGAUCGAACCAAAAGCUCAGAUACCAUUUGUUGGGAAAAUAAAAAAUAUAGAGAAAAAAGAGGAACACAAUAACAACACAAGAAAAUAACGUGGAAACUCCAAAAUCGGAGAAAAAUCACGAUCGUUCACAAUUGACAACCAGAGAAUAAUACUAUAUAAAAAUUGUUACAACAUGUAAUAUACCCUCAAAUACUCCAGGCCCCUAAUACACUCAUACCCUCCAAAAUAAAUAUUUAACUACAUCUCACAACACUAUAUUACAAGAUCAUAAGAGAAUAAAGAAAGUCAAAUACAAGCUUAAAAUGUUUUUGACUGGUGCAUCUUGUAAAGAAAAACUUUAAUCCUAUAUAUAGCCUUGGACUCCCUCUUCCUUCAUAAGACUAAGCAAUGUGAGACUUCUUCAACAUAUGUAUUUUCAACAAAAUCCAACAAUCUCCACCUUCAUUAAAAAUGAUACACUAACUUUUAUUGUCUUUACCGACAAUCAUGCUCCACCAUAAAGAGUGUGAACAUGUAUAUAUUUAAUUAAUCUUAACAGUCUCCACCUUGAUUAACAAUAAUACAACUUUCAUUGUCUUCACCGACAAUCAUACUCCACUAUAAAGAGUAUAGUCACUUGAAGCUACACCACUCUAAAAAUUUUCACAUUGUCUUAAACGACAAUCAUAGUUUUAAAAACUAUCAUACUCUCUCACGAAGAAUAUAUUUCACUUGAAGAUAAACCACUUCAAGAAUUUCACAUUGUCAUCACUGACAAUAAUAUACUUUAUCAUGAAGAAUAAAUUUCACUUUAAGGUAAAUCACUCCAAGAAUUUUCACAUGUCGAAAACAUGGUUUAAAACUUAUGGUAUAACUUCCUUGUUGGCAGGAAGCUCUUCAACCACAAACAUAAUCUUGCACCUUGUGUAACACAUAUUUGACUUGAACUUUCCACAAGUCAAAAACAAUUUUUCCAUCAAUUUUCUCUAACCCAAACUGCACAUCAGAAUUUAUGAAUGCAGCUCAACAACUCUUCCACAACACCACCCUUCUUUUUUGACGUGGAAGAUCAAACAAAGCUGCAAUCGUAGAGCAUACUAAGAACUCCUAUCCCCGAAUCGAACUAAAAGCUUUGACCAGUUGUUGAAAAAAUAACAAAUAUAGAAAAAAGGAGGAACGAAAUAACAACACAAGAAAAUAACGUGGAAACUCUAAAACCGGAGAAAAACCAUGACUGUUGCCAAAUGACAACCAGAGAAUAAUACUAUGUGAAAAUUGUUACAACACAUAAUAUACCCUCAAAUACCCCAGGUCCCUAGUACACCCACACCCUCCAAAAAAAGUAUAUUAAAUAUCAUGUCACAACACAAGCUUAAAGUGCUUUUGACUGGUGCAUCUUGUAAAAAAAACUUAAAUCCUAUAUAUAGUCUUGGACUCUCUCUUUCUUCACAAGACUAAGCGAUGUGAGACUUUUUCAACAUAUGUAUUUUCAACAAAAUUCAACAAUCUCUACCUUGAUUUCAAAAUAGGAUUUGUAUAGAAUGGAAAAUAUUUUUUUGAAAGAAAUUUAAAAAAAAAAUAUUAGAAGACUAAUUUUUUUAAAAUAAGAUGAAAAGUGCAUAGGUCGACAGGAUUUUUAAAUCGGAAGAUUUCAUUAGUAAGUAUACAAGAUUCCAACAAACCUUGUUUAUAUUCCUUAGGAACCAUUAUGGGACUUAAAUUAGGCGAAUAGAACAAUGCCUUGAUCAUAUUAACUUCAAUUGAAAAAGGAUUGUUAUUAACUUUCAUGGUCUCCAUCUUUCCACCUACCUAAAAUAUGGGCCUUUUGUGUUCUGUUGAAGACACAUUUAUUUCUAUGAAUCCAAUCCUUCCCAAGAUAAUAGAAUAAGGUGGUUUCAUAUCUAUCACUGAACAAAAAACUAUAUGAGCUAUGAAAGCACAAAGUUAAUCGGAUGCUACCUAAUUAGGUGUUUCAAAUCAUUGUCCUCAUGAUCC